rnacentral:rRNA from 1 species
CCUACGGGAGGCAGCAGUGAGGAAUAUUGGUCAAUGGACGCAAGUCUGAACCAGCCAUGCCGCGUGCAGGAAGACGGCUCUAUGAGUUGUAAACUGCUUUUGUACGAGGGUAAACGCAGAUACGCGUAUCUGUCUGAAAUUAUCGUACGAGUAAGGAACGGCUAACUCCGUGCCAGCAGCCGCGGUAAUACGGAGGAUUCAAGCGUUAUCCGGAUUGAUUGGGUUUAACGGGAGUGUAGGCGGUCGGUUAAGUCAGAGGUGAAAUCCCGAGGCUCAACUUCGGAAUUGCCUCUGAUACUGGUCGGCUAGAGAGUAGUUGCGGUAGGCGGAAUGUAUGGUGUAGCGGUGAAAUGCUUAGAGAUC